GCUUCUUCCUUAGAUCUAACCUGAACUUCCCCUGUUUGAAGCAGUUGCUCUGGCUCCUUCUCUGCCUUCAGCAGAUGCCGCGGCUUGUGGUGUGCCUGUGCCCCAGCACCACAGAUCUUCCCUCUCCAGGUGGUUCUGGGGCUGCGGCUGCCCAGUGGUGUGUUACUGGUGGGUUCUCAGCCUCGUGGCUCGUUUCUUGUGUGCUCACAGGCUGAGGUGGUGAGUUCUGUUCCCAGCUGAAGCUGUCCUGGGGGUUGUGUUGCUGCCCAUCAGCAUGGGAUCUCGUGUCAAACAGUUGCCACAUUCUUGUGUGAGUUUUGGGGCCACUACAGAUCUGUAUGGAUGCACUGGGGGGUGGCAGACUGGUACCAAGAGAGAGGAGCUUCUCCAGCUCCAUUAGGCCAUUGAAAGGAUGUGAAAAAGGAGGCAGUGGCAUCAUUAACCUGCCUUUUAAAGUGUUCUUAAACAUCUUGAGAAUUAGCUGACCUGGGAAGAGGAAUGAUCCUGGGAAGGAGUAAACCUGUUCAAGAGGAGGUGGCCCAGCAGGUGGCUGCUGGGAAUCCCUGGUGCGUGCUCCCAGGAUCAGUAAGGGAGGCGAUGUUUAUUAAAUACCCGGUGCCAGAGGAGCAGGAUGGGAGCAGGAUGGGAGCAGGAUGGGAGUGGCAUGCAGAUGGAGUGAGACUUGGGGCAGCAUGGGGGGCAGUCCCGUCACCUCCAACCCCUGAGCUGGGUCCCGCCUCCCGUUCGCGCGAGCACAGGGUUGUAAGGCUCCAGCUGGCUGCCAACAUAUUGAUGGUGGGAUGGAGUUUCGCUUGAAGAAUUGUAGGUAACUGGAGCAGAGUGAGUAAUUCUCGUCCAAGAGCACCUCCUUUUCCCAUGCGCCGAGUAGCCAAAAGUGGUUUGUGAUUCUUCCCGAUCCAUUCAUCAGGAGACACACAACCACGUGUUAAUGAACUGCUCCGGUCAGCGCCCGGGGGCCUGGACAGGACCCACGUGGUUCAGUGGGGGCUCACAGGGCUCACGGGCCCUUCCUGUUCCCGAGUUUGUGCGUCCACACGUUGUGCAGCUCCACGUGUGGUGGUCAGGACUGUCUCGGUCCUGCAAGAUGCUCUAAGGUGGUACCUGCCUUCCCUCCCCGGGACCUGGGGCAGGGGGGAUUAACAGCUCAAACCAAGCUCACCAAGUGCCAGCACAGAGUCAUGCGUGGAGGUCCUGGCCACCUUGGAUACUGCCUGGGGCACCUCAGUGGCUGUGUCCAGAGGAAAGCCCAUGUGUGCUCGUGUUCCUGUGGUCUGGGAUGUGAGUUGAGGCAAUCCCUGCGGGCACAGCUUGAUCCGUGUGCUGAGGAGGUGAGAUCUUGUCCAUCUGGGAAGGUCCCAGUUCUGUGCAGACAGGCUCUUGAGUCCUGAGUGCUCUUGCGGACACGUCAAUGAUCACCGAGAUCCCUGCGUGCUCCAGGCAGCUCUGUCCACACAUCCUCCUGCUCAGGAUCACAUCCCAGGCCCGUGCCGAAGCCCUGGUCCCGGGUGCAGUCCCUGUGCUCUCCCUUUGCUGGCACACCCGCUCGCUUGUCAAAAGUGAGGUUAAAAUAACUCCGCACAAGCUGUUUUUAGAAGUCCCGGCUGGGUGUUGUGCACAACGCGCUUGGGGAUUAUUUUCGUGGUUGAGGAUUCUUUCCCCCUGUUCCCUCUCUUUUGCUCCUCCUCUCCAGCGCUGGUUAUCCACACUUGGGCUUUUGUCACCAAGUCCUGCCUUGAACAGCGAUCACAGCCUUGGGCUUGUCAUCUCGUGAGCUGCAAAGCCGAGGAAAGCAGGUGGUGAGAGGCUGUUUUUCCAGGACUUACAUCCCUUGACAGCAUCUCUCCAGCUCUGACAAGGUAUUUAGUAUCCAAGAGGAAACCUCGUGUUAUGACAAAGCCCAGCACUGGCACCAAAGGGCUGUGAGCUUCCCAGCAGGGCAUGGAGCUGCGACAUGACCCCGUGUCCAUGCCAGUGACAUCUGUCACCCUCUUUGUGCCACUGGAGGAUCCCUCCUGGCCACCGAUGUGCCUGCCGAGUGUCCCGUCCCUCCCGCGUGCCCACCAGCGUGGGACAGCCCCUUCCCUCGUGCUGACGGGCACGGCGUUGGGAAUGUGAGCAAAAGGAUGCUGCCAGCUUCGGAUACAGCAGCAGGGGGGUCUCCCCUGAAAGCCUCCCUCUCCUCAGGCCGCCGCUGCAGAGGCUGUUCCUGCCUCCCUGUGCACCCCAAGAGACUCAUCUGAGCUUUUACCCCUUUGGGCUGUGGGUUAAGGGUCUCCUUGCAGCCCAGGAGGCCCUUUGGGACCUGCCAGCUGGGAAAGCAGAGCCAAAGCCUGACCGAGAGCCCGGGCACACCGCAGGGACCUGAUCCUUCCUCUGGUUCAUGGCCAUGGGCAUUGCUAGGACCCCCGAGGUCCCAGCCUGAGCUGUCAGCUGGGAAACUUGUACGUUCAGCUUCAAGCAUGGGCAUAUCGAAGUGAGGAACAUAAAUCAGGUCAAGAUUUGUCCUUGUUCUCUCCUCUCUGCUCCCGCCUGGAGCCCCUCGGGAGCGUGCCGCCUGCUGGCGGUGCUGGCGGUCGCGUGCCAGAGCCUUUCUCCAUGGGUGGGAUUUGCAGGACAUCCCCCUGCCUGGGCUGAGACCAGGGCUCUGCCACAGGCUCUUGGCUUUCCUUACCUCGACCUUCUUGGUGAGGCUCCAGCCCGUGUCUCCAUCACUCCAAGCUCUUGCAGGCACCCAACCAAGUGAUGGGCUGGAUCAACAGAGACCAUCACCCUGAGCCUGUGCUUCCAUGCUGGACGCUGGAUGUGUCCAUGGCAAGUGCUCCAGCACUGCUUCCAACCACGAAACCCCAGACUCAAGGUGGUAGAGGGAGAAUUUUGCCAUGGCCUGCAGGCAUUUCGGAGCCUCUCAUCAGAAAAUGGGGAUCCCACCUGGGAGCAGGUCCCACUUUUCCAUCUCUCCCCCUGGAAUAAAGGGGGAUGAGUAAAUUCCCCUGUGUGCAUGUGGGGCACCACAGAAACGCUUCUGAGGGAAUGAAUAAUUCCAUAUUCUCAGCAGGGUGGGAAGCGGCAUGUGGUCAAUAAAGUGAGGGCUACUUAUGGGGCAGGGGGAGGAAAGGAUCCCCUGAGGAUCUGUGGACAAGGGGAUCCACCUGGUCCAUGGCUCCGUGGUGUUCCCUGGGGCCUGCUGGUGGUGGGCGCAGUGGCAGGGCACCAGGGAUGGAAGGGGAUUUGGUAGGGACAGGAUUUGGGAUGGGUUUUCCUUCCCCUGAUGCUCUGGGAUGGAGGUGGGGUGAUGCCUGUCAAGCCAUGGAGUCCUCUGGCAUCCGUUCGUCCCUCUGCUGCCAGGUUGGCUCCGGUGGGGACAGCAGCAGUGCCGUGAGAGCUCAGCUCUGCGGGGACAUCCCCGCUCUUGGUUUCAUCUCAUCCCUCUUGUUUCAAAGCCUGAGGAGCAGCAGUGGGCCUGGAGCAUGCUCCUGCCGCUGGCGUGGGGCUGCUGCUGCCCCAUGGCUCAUCCUGCUUCCCAGGGGAUGGCAUUCCUGGGGGAAUUUGGCCUCCCUCCACCUGCCCGCCCAGGGCUGGGAAGCCCCCAAGCAAACCUGCGGCGGCUCUUCCUCCCCUCUAAAGCGGAACUGUGCAGUUCAGAGGAGAGCAAGCACAUUGUGUGGCCUGAAAAGCGAAUGCCUUCCCGGGCUGGAAUGUUUUCCCUCUGCUCUCCCAGGAUUAAGCCCCAGCCACCCCCUCCAAUAUUACCUGGUUCUCCUCUUUGUGCUGCAGACACCAGCUCCGCACCUUUAAGGGCUUCCUCUGUUUUCCCCUCCAGAGCUGUGGAGCUUCCAGGGAGGUUUGGCUAAAUUGUGUUGUCUGCCUUUAUUGAUGGCUUUGCAGAGGCUGACGAACACCAUAAACCUUCCUCGCUGCUGGCAUUAGUGCUGGAAUAACACGGGAGGAAGGAGCCCACCUCUCCCGGCCAAACCAGAUCAAGGCACUCGGGGGUCAUGGUUUGGGAUGCCCCAAUGGUGGCAACGUCACCUUCAUUGUCACCCACAUGAGGGCUCCUGGGCCAGAGGAAUGAGGAAUGAUGGCA